rnacentral:rRNA from 1 species
CCCUAUGGGGUGCAGCAGGCGCGGAACCUUUACAAUGCACGAAAGUGUGAUAAGGGAACCCUGAGUGCUGAUACUAUGUAUCAGCUUUUGCCAUGAGUAAAUAUCAUGGCGAAUAAGUGGUGGGCAAUACCUGUGCCAGCCGCCGCGGUAACCCAGGAGCCACAAGUGGCAACCGUAUUUAUUGGGCCUAAAGCGUCCGUAGCCGGUUCUGUAAAUUUUCUGUGAAAUCGUUGCGCUAAACGUAACGGCGUGCAGAAAAGACUGCAGGACUAGGGACCGGGAGGAGUUAGAGGUAUUUCGGGGGGAGCGGUAAAAUGCUAUAAUCCCCGAAGGACCACCUGUGGCGAAAGCGUCUAACUAGAACGGAUCCGACGGUGAGGGACGAAAGCUAGGGGAGCAAUCCGGAUUAGAUACCCGAGUAGUCCUAGCCAUAAACUCUGCGAGCUAGGUGUUACGUGUUUUUAGUGAAUACGUAGUGUCGUAGCGAAGGUGUUUAGCUCGCCGCCUGGGAAGUAUGGUCGCAAGGCUGAAACUUAAAGGAAUUGGCGGGGGAGCACUACAAGGGGUGCGGCGUGCGGUUUAAUCCAAUUCAACACGGAGAAUCUCACCAGAAGCGCCGGCAGGAUGAAGGUCAGGCUGAAGGUCUUACCCAACGAGCCGAGAAGAAGUGCAUGGCC